GAUGAACGCUGGCGGCGUGCCUAAUACAUGCAAGUCGAGCGAACGGACGAGAAGCUUGCUUCUCUGAUGUUAGCGGCGGACGGGUGAGUAACACGUGGAUAACCUACCUAUAAGACUGGGAUAACUUCGGGACACCGUAGCUAAUACCGGAUAAUAUUUUGAACCGCAUGGUUCAAAAGUGAAAGUCGGUCUUGCUGUCACUUAUAGCUGGAUCUGCGCUGCAUUAGCUAGUUGGUAAGGUAACGGCUUACCAAGGCAACGAUGCAUAGCCGACCUGAGAGGGUGAUCGGCCACACUGGAACUGAGACACGGUCCAGACUCCUACGGGAGGCAGCAGUAGGGAAUCUUCCGCAAUGGGCGAAAGCCUGACGGAGCAACGCCGCGUGAGUGAUGAAGGUCUUCGGAUCGUAAAACUCUGCUAUUAGGGAAGAACAGAUGUGUAAGUAACUGUGCACAUCUUGACGGUACCUAAUCAGAAAGCCACGGCUAACUACGUG
rnacentral:rRNA from 1 species